UACGUAGGGACCGAGCGUUGUCCGGAAUCAUUGGGCGUAAAGGGCGCGUAGGCGGUUCUGUAAGUCCCGCGUGAAAUCCCCCGGCUCAACUGGGGAACGGCGCGGGAUACUGUGGGGCUUGAGUUCGGGAGAGGGAAGCGGAAUUCCGGGUGUAGCGGUGAAAUGCGUAGAUAUCCGGGAGGAACACCGGUGGCGAAGGCGGGUCUUUGGGCAGUAACUGACGCUGAGGAGCGAAAGCGUGGGGGAGCGAAACAGG
rnacentral:rRNA from 1 species